GACGAACGCUGGCGGCGCGCCUAACACAUGCAAGUCGAACGAGAGAGAGGGAGCUUGCUUCCUCAAUCGAGUGGCGAACGGGUGAGUAACGCGUGAGGAACCUGCCUCAAAGAGGGGGACAACAGUUGGAAACGACUGCUAAUACCGCAUAAGCCCACAGGUCGGCAUCGACCAGAGGGAAAAGGAGCAAUCCGCUUUGAGAUGGCCUCGCGUCCGAUUAGCUAGUUGGUGAGGUAACGGCCCACCAAGGCAACGAUCGGUAGCCGGACUGAGAGGUUGAACGGCCACAUUGGGACUGAGACACGGCCCAGACUCCUACGGGAGGCAGCAGUGGGGAAUAUUGCACAAUGGGGGAAACCCUGAUGCAGCGACGCCGCGUGGAGGAAGAAGGUCUUCGGAUUGUAAACUCCUGUCGUUGAGGAAGAUAAUGACGGUACUCAACAAGGAAGUGACGGCUAACUACGUGCCAGCAGCCGCGGUAAAACGUAGGUCACAAGCGUUGUCCGGAAUUACUGGGUGUAAAGGGAGCGCAGGCGGGAAGACAAGUUGGAAGUGAAAUCUAUGGGCUCAACCCAUAAACUGCUUUCAAAACUGUUUUUCUUGAGUAGUGCAGAGGUAGGCGGAAUUCCCGGUGUAGCGGUGGAACGCGUAGAUAUCGGGAGGAACACCAGUGGCGAAGGCGGCCUACUGGGCACCAACUGACGCUGAGGCUCGAAAGUGUGGGUAGCAAACAGGAUUAGAUACCCUGGUAGUCCACACCGUAAACGA
rnacentral:rRNA from 1 species